rnacentral:rRNA from 1 species
UUACUCCUACGGGGGGCAGCAGUGAGGAAUAUUGGUCAAUGGGCGAGAGCCUGAACCAGCCACGUCGCGUGAGGGAAGACGGCCCUACGGGUUGUAAACCUCUUUUGUCAGGGAGCAAGAACGGAUACGUGUAUCCGAGCGAGAGUACCUGAAGAAAAAGCAUCGGCUAACUCCGUGCCAGCAGCCGCGGUAAUACGGAGGAUGCGAGCGUUAUCCGGAUUUAUUGGGUUUAAAGGGUGCGUAGGCAGGCUGCUAAGUCAGCGGUAAAAUUGCGGGGCUCAAUCCCGUCGAGCCGGUCAAACUAG